rnacentral:rRNA from 1 species
CACACCGCCCGUCGCUACUACCGAUUGAAUGGCUCAGUGAGGCCUCCGGACUGGCUCAGGGAGGUUGGCAACGACCACCCCGAGCCGGAAAGUUCGUCAAACUCGGUCAUUUAGAGGAAGUAAAAGUCGUAACAAGGUUUCCGUAGGUGAACCUGCGGAAGGAUCAUUACCGUGGGCGUAAAACCCCAUUGAGAUAGCACCCUUUGUUUAUGAGUACCGUCGUUUCCUCGGUGGGCUUGCCCACCAUUGGACAAUAAUAAACCCUCUGUAGUAGCAGUAUCUUCAGUAAAAAUAAAUUUUAAAACUUUCAACAACGGAUCUCUUGGUUCUGGCAUCGAUGAAGAACGCAGCGAAAUGCGAUAAGUAGUGUGAAUUGCAGAAUUCAGUGAAUCAUCGAAUCUUUGAACGCACAUUGCGCCCUUCGGUAUUCCGUUGGGCAUGCCUGUUCGAGCGUCAUUUAAACCUUCAAGCCCUGCUUGGUGUUGGGUGUUUGUUCCGCCUCUGCGCGUGGACUCGCCUUAAAUUCAUUGGCAGCCGGUUAGUUGGCUUCGUGCGCAGCACAUUUGCGUCGCGGAUCCAGCCUACCCCUCCCAUCAAGCCUCUUUUUUACUUUGACCUCGGAUCAGGUAGGGAUACCCGCUGAACUUAAGCAUAUCAAUAAGCGGAGGAAAAGAAACCAACAGGGAUUGCCCCAGUAACGGCGAGUGAAGCGGCAAUAGCUCAAAUUUGAAAUCUGGCCCUUUUAGGGUCCGAGUUGUAAUUUGCAGAGGGCGCUUUGGAGUCGACAGCAGCCUAAGUUCCUUGGAACAGGUCAUCAUAGAGGGUGAGAAUCCCGUAUGUGGCUGCUUGUCUUCGCCGUGUAAAGCCCCUUCGAUGAGUCGAGUUGUUUGGGAAUGCAGCUCUAAAUGGGAGGUAAAUUUCUUCUAAAGCUAAAUAUUGGCCAGAGACCGAUAGCGCACAAGUAGAGUGAUCGAAAGAUGAAAAGCACUUUGGAAAGAGAGUCAAAAAGCACGUGAAAUUGUUGAAAGGGAAGCGCUUGCAGCCAGACGUGCCCGUAGUUGCUCAUCCGGGGUUCUCCCCGGUGCACUCUUCUAUGGGCAGGCCAGCAUCAGUUCAGGCGGCUGGAGAAAGACCUGUGUCAUGUAGCUGUUCUCGGGCAGUGUUAUAGGGCAGGUGGAAUGCAGCCAGCUUGAACUGAGGUCCGCGCAAUUGCUAGGAUGCUGGCGUAAUGGCUGUAAGCGGCCCGUCUUGAAACACGGACCAAGGAGUCUAACAUCUAUGCGAGUGUUUGGGUGUCAAGCCCGAGCGCGUAAUGAAAGUGAACGGAGGUGGGAACCCCUCGGGGUGCACCAUCGACCGAUCCUGAUGUCUUCGGAUGGAUUUGAGUAAGAGCAUAGCUGUUGGGACCCGAAAGAUGGUGAACUAUGCCUGAAUAGGGUGAAGCCAGAGGAAACUCUGGUGGAGGCUCGCAGCGGUUCUGACGUGCAAAUCGAUCGUCAAAUUUGGGCAUAGGGGCGAAAGACUAAUCGA